UACGUAGGGUGCGAGCGUUGUCCGGAAUUAUUGGGCGUAAAGAGCUCGUAGGCGGCUUGUCGCGUCGGAUGUGAAAGCCCGGGGCUUAACUCCGGGUCUGCAUUCGAUACGGGCAGGCUAGAGUUCGGUAGGGGAGAUCGGAAUUCCUGGUGUAGCGGUGAAAUGCGCAGAUAUCAGGAGGAACACCAGUGGCGAAAGCGGCUUCCUGGUCCAGCACCGACGUUCAGGCACGAAAGCGUGGGGAGCAAACAGG
rnacentral:rRNA from 1 species